rnacentral:rRNA from 1 species
GACGAACCGUACGAACGUUAUUCGGAAUCACUGGGCGUAAAGGGUGCGUAGGCGGCGGAGUAAGUUGGGUGUGAAAUCUCCCGGCUCAACUGGGAGGGUGCGCCGAAAACUGGCUGGCUGGAGUGUGGGAGAGGCUAGCGGAAUUCCUGGUGUAGCGGUGAAAUGCGUAGAUAUCAGGAGGAACACCAAUGGCGAAGGCAGCUCGCUGGGACGACACUGACGCUGAGACGCGAAAGCGUGGGGAGCAAACAGG